GUUAUGCUUCUUGUGAUGAACUUCCUUGUCAUAACUCUGAUAGCAGUGAUAUACAUACUGUGAUGUACAUACUGAUACUAGAGGAUGAUUUUGAUAUGUCUGGGAAUGAUCACUGAGUGAAAUUGAAGCUGAAUUUGAAGAUAGGGAGUCGUGUGUGGUGAACCAACAGAUCCCAGUGAGAUUUUAUAUAAUGUUUCUCUUGACUUGGCAAUCGCUAUUCAAAGUGGGAAUGAAUGUUUUGUUUUUGUUCUUCUUCUCCUUGGUCUAUACCCAAUGCCAAACAAAACCUUGUGAAAGUAGAAAGUACUAAGGCCUUAAUUUCGCAAGUACCAAAAUGUCAUUCUCUGUAUUCACUGGACCUCUGCAAAAUUACCCUCCCGAAUAAAACCGUUCCUAUGUCCAGUUUCAAUCGUCAUCAAUGAAAACCAUUAGGACAUCAACUGGCUCGACAAAUGUUCUGUUACCAAAGUCUCGGUUUGCUCCCUACAAAAUCUCUUCUCACGCCCAGGUUUUUAUGAGAAAACUGAACUAUGGAGAAAUCGCCCUGGUACUCUAACGGAUGUGUAUGAUGGUAGGGUUUGGAAUGAGUUCCUAAACCCCGACCAUUUCUUUUGCUCCCUUAUAAACUCUAAACAUAAGUUGGGGCAAUUUAUUCGUCAAUUCAAAACUUACCGAAAUUUAUUUUUUUGGUAAACAAAAUUAAACUUUAAUGUAUCAUUGUAUUUAAUG